rnacentral:misc_RNA from 1 species
AACUUUUGGCAACGGAUCUCUUGGCUCUCGCAUCGAUGAAGAACGCAGCGAAAUGCGAAACGUAAUGUGAAUUGCAGAAUUCAGUGAAUCAUCGAAUCUUUGAACGCAUAUUGCGCUCUCUGGUAUUCCGGUGAGCAUGCUUGUUUGAGUAUCAGUAAACACCUCAAAUCCCUCUACUUGUUGGAGGAGUUUUGACUUGAGCAAUCCCAACUUUUCGAAAGAGAAGGCGGGUUCCUUGAAACGCAGGUGCCGCUAGAUUCUUUCUUCUGAGCUAUAAGCAUACUUAUUUAAUCCCGUCAAACGGAUUAUUACUUUUGCUGCAGCUAACAUAAAGGUUGAAGAGUCGCUAUGGCUGACUUAUGCAGGAUUUAACAUGUCGCGCAAGCGAUCUGUAAACUCGAUCUCAAAUCAAGCAAGACUACCCGCUGAACUUAAGCAUAUCAAUAAGCGGAGGCU